GCCAUGGUGGUGCCACUGCAGGGUACUCCACCAAGGUGAUGCCACCACAGAGCAUCCUGCCAUGGUGGUGCCACCACAGAGCAUCCUGCCAUGGUGCUGCCAACACAGAGCAUCCUGCCAUGGUGGUGCCACCGCAGAGCAUCCUGCCAUGGUGCUGCCAACACAGAGCAUCCUGCCAUGGUGGUGCCACCGCAGAGCAUCCUGCCAUGGUGCUGCCAACACAGAGCAUCCUGCCAUGGCGGUGCCACCGCAGAGCAUCCUGCCACGGUGAUGCCACCACAGAGCAUCCUGCCAUGGUGGUGCCACCAAAGGGUACCCUGCUAUGGCAACGCCACUGCAGGGUACCCCACCAAGGUGAUGCCACCACAGAGCAUCCUGCCAUGGUGAUGCCACCACAGAGCAUCCUGCCAUGGUGAUGCCACUGCAGGGGUACCCACCAAGGUGAUGCCACCACAAAGCAUCCUGCCAUGGCGAUGCCACCACAGCUCCAAGCCCGCCAUCAGCCCUAUAGAGCUCUUUCCCCUCACAACAUCCCCAAUCCUGAGAGCAGCCCCAG